UACGUAGGGGCAAGCGUUGUCCGGAAUUAUUGGGCGUAAAGAGCGUGUAGGCGGUCCGGUAAGUCAGCUGUGAAAGUCAAGGGCUCAACCCUUGAAAGCCGGUUGAUACUGUCGGGCUAGAGUCCGGAAGAGGCGAGUGGAAUUCCUGGUGUAGCGGUGGAAAUGCGCAGAUAUCAGGAGGAACACCAAUGGCGAAGGCAGCUCGCUGGGACGGUACUGACGCCUGAGACGCGAAAGCGUGGGGAGCAAACA
rnacentral:rRNA from 1 species